rnacentral:tRNA from 1 species
GGGCGAAUGGUUUAGUGGUAUAAUACUCCCUUAGCAUGAGCCUUCCUACGGAUUGCCCAACUUGGGAGUGGUCCAGGGUUCGAUUCCCUGUUCGUCCA